rfam:Vigna radiata var. radiata cultivar VC1973A scaffold_131, whole genome shotgun sequence
AAAAAAGCAGGGACCUGUUUUACCUUUGUGAGCAUGUCCUUCGUUAACUUCAGGGACAGCGUCCUCAUUGUUGUUGGGUGAACCUCUGUCUUGCACGUGACUCAAGGUUCAGUAAAUAAUGGAACAUUU